GAUGAACGCUAGCGACAGGCUUAACACAUGCAAGUCGAGGGGCAGCAUAAAAGUAGCAAUACUUUGGUGGCGACCGGCGCACGGGUGAGUAACGCGUAUGCAACCUACCUAUCAGAGGGGGAUAACCCGGCGAAAGUCGGACUAAUACCGCAUAAAACAGGGGCACCGCAUGGUGAUAUUUGUUAAAAAUUUAUUGCUGAUAGAUGGGCAUGCGUUCCAUUAGGUAGUUGGAGAGGUAACGGCUCACCAAGCCCACGAUGGAUAGGGGAACUGAGAGGUUGGUCCCCACACUGGUACUGAGACACGGACCAGACUCCUACGGGAGCAGCAGUGAGGAAUAUUGGUCAAUGGGCAGAGCCUGAACCAGCCAAGUCGCGUGAAGGAAGAAGGAUCUAUGGUUCGUAAACUUCUUUUGCAGGGGAAUAAAGUGCAGGACGUGUCCUGUUUUGUAUGUACCCUGAGAAUAAGGAUCGGUCUAACUCCGUGCCAGCAGCCGAC
rnacentral:rRNA from 1 species